rnacentral:rRNA from 1 species
AUUGAACGCUGGCGGCAUGCCUUACACAUGCAAGUCGAACGGCAGCACGGGAGCAAUCCUGGUGGCGAGUGGCGAACGGGUGAGUAAUAUAUCGGAACGUGCCCAGUCGUGGGGAUAACGUAGCGAAAGCUACGCUAAUACCGCAUACGAUCUAUGGAUGAAAGCGGGGGAUCGCAAGACCUCGCGCGAUUGGAGCGGCCGAUAUCAGAUUAGGUAGUUGGUGAGGUAAAGGCUCACCAAGCCGACGAUCUGUAGCUGGUCUGAGAGGACGACCAGCCACACUGGGACUGAGACACGGCCCAGACUCCUACGGGAGGCAGCAGUGGGAAUUUUGGACAAUGGGCGCAAGCCUGAUCCAGCAAUGCCGCGUGCA